AACGAACGCUGGCGGCAUGCCUAACACAUGCAAGUCGAACGAGACCUCCGGGUCUAGUGGCGCACGGGUGCGUAACGCGUGGGAACCUGCCCUUAGGUUCGGAAUAACUCCCCGAAAGGGGUGCUAAUACCGGAUAAUGUCUUCGGACCAAAGAUUUAUCGCCUUUGGAUGGGCCCGCGUUGGAUUAGCUAGUUGGUAGGGUAAAAGCCUACCAAGGCGACGAUCCAUAGCUGGUCUGAGAGGAUGAUCAGCCACACUGGGACUGAGACACGGCCCAGACUCCUACGGGAGGCAGCAGUGGGGAAUAUUGGACAAUGGGCGAAAGCCUGAAACAGCAAUGCCGCGUGAGUGAUGAAGGCCUUAGGGUUGUAAAGCUCUUUUACCCGAGAUGAUAAUGACAGUACCGGGAGAAUAAGCUCCGGCUAACACCGU
rnacentral:rRNA from 1 species